CUUAUACUCCCUCCUUCCGGAAAUACUUGUCCUAAAAAUAGAUGUAUCUAGACUUAUUUUAGUUAUAGAUACAUUCAUUUUAUACAUUUUUAGGACAAGUAUUUCCGGACAGAGGGAGUAUUAA
rnacentral:pre_miRNA from 1 species